CAGUCCCCAGUCUCCUCUCCAGCACAAGUGCAGUGGCCCCUUCCCUCACUUCCACACUGGCAAGAGUGUGUUUUCUGUAGAGGCAAAGACUAUAAUGAGAUGUGGCACAACAUAAACACAUCCCUGUGAGAAUGGCAGCAAGGAGAAUUGCAGACUGCCCGGAAGUCCACCCAAUUUUCAUUAUCCCUCAAUGAUGGCAAUCCUGCGGGUCUCCUCCAGAACGCUCCCUUCCUCUGUGAAAUACAUCGCGGCUUUCUCCUCAUCCUUCAGUCACUGACGCUAAGUAAAAGAGCGGUGUGCUGAGUUGAAUGACAACUUCUAAUUAAAGUAGUGGCUGAUUAUCAUCACAUAUCUUUCACAAUUAACAGAAGAACGUUCUUAUCAUACAUACAGAGAGAGUGAUUUUACUAUUUUGAGGAAAGAUUUACUCAGCUGGUUCCACAUAGUCGGGGAAAACAUGUCUUAUAAAGGUCCUUCUAACUUUGCUUCUGCACAUAAUUUGAUGGUUAACUCUAUAUGGCCUUCUCAGUGACAAACAAACUUUGGUUAACCUUACUUGUCCUAGGUGACAAAUGGUGACGGGUGAGAAAGAGCUACUGUGCACACUCUCUGCAUCUCACUGGGUAAUCAGUCACAAGCCAAGGCACCAGAAUAUCAUGAUCUCCUUACAUUUGGUUUUAGUGGCUGUAUUGUGUGUAUGAGGUCUGUGUGCAUA